CCCAGUGUAGCUCAAUUGGGAAAGCAACUGCCUGGAUUGCAGGAGGUUGCGGGUUCGAGUCCCGUCAGUGACG
rnacentral:tRNA from 1 species